rnacentral:rRNA from 1 species
UACGUAGGGUGCGAGCGUUAAUCGGAAUUACUGGGCGUAAAGCGUGCGCAGGCGGUUUUGUAAGUCAGAUGUGAAAUCCCCGGGCUUAACCUGGGAACUGCGUUUGAAACUACGUGGCUCGAGUGUGGCAGAGGAAGGUGGAAUUCCACGUGUAGCGGUGAAAUGCGUAGAGAUGUGGAGGAACACCGAUGGCGAAGGCAGCCUUCUGGGCCAACACUGACGCUCAUGCACGAAAGCGUGGGGAGCAAACAGG